CAGUAGCCGCGGUAAUACGAGGGGCGCAAGCGUUAUUCGGAUUGAUUGGGUGUAAAGGGUGUGCAGACGGCUUAUUAAGUCACUUGUUAAAUUCUUCGGCCUAACUGAAGGUCUGCAAGUGAUACUGAUGAGCUAGAGGGUGGAAGAGAGAAGUGGAAUUCUCGGAGUAGCGGUAAAAUGCGUAGAUCUCGAGAGGAACACCAAUGGCGAAGGCAGCUUCUUGGUCCAUUCCUGACGUUCAUACACGAAAGCGUGGGGAGCAAACGGGAUUAGAUACCCCGGUAGUCCCUGUCUCUUAUAC
rnacentral:rRNA from 1 species